rnacentral:lncRNA from 1 species
GAUGGUUCAGGGGGUUGGGGGCCCUCACUUCCACCCGGCUGGGACACAGGCACCCGAGGACCUGCAGCACAUCCGAGGGGCAAAGCAGACCCAGGGUCCAAGCCUGGGGAGGCUUCUAGAGCAACCGUUCCCGGCCACGGCCACAGGAGGCGCUGAGGGGUGCGGAGGGAGGGUGCACGGGGAGGCGGGUUUGCAGGGAAGGGGGGGGGCUGAGGUGCUGCUGGACACCCCUGAGGAGCCAGAGGACAACACAGGUCACGAUGGUCCAGGCUAGAGGACAGCGCAGGUCACGAUGGUCCAGGCUAGAGGACAGCGCAGGUCGUGAUGGUCCAGGCUAGGGUGCUCGGGGUCGGCUCAGCCGAUGGUGGGGAUCCAAGGUGGAAGAGAGAAGGGGUGUCAUCUGAGGGAGAGGGAAGGAACUCCAGGGCAGGCCUGGGAGACGGAACCCCGAGGGGCACCCCCAGAAGCCCAGGAAAGAGGGCUAGGAGGAGGCGGAGGCCUGGUCAGCCGCAUGUGCCGGGGCUGACAGUGCCGCUGGCCUUUUUCCCCGGGGGGCCCAGACCAGGUUUUUGAGGGGUUGAAGGGUGAUCAGAAGGCGAAGGGGGUGUGGGCUCCUGGAGGGGUGAGCCACGGUCGCCCCGGGAAGCUGAGGGUGGGGCACAGGCUGUGGGUGUGUAGGGGGCGUUCUGAGGCCCCAGGUUAGGGGCAUCACAGAGCAGGGCCGGGUGCCCAGAGCAUGGUCUCCCACUCACUUCCUCCCCUGGUGGGCUUCAAGCCCACCCCCAGCCUCUCCCAGCUUCUCCCGCAGGCCCAGGCCCUGCCUCCCCCACACCCCCAGCCUCUCCCAGCUUCUCCUGUAGCCCAGCUACUCCGCGGUCGUCCCCAGCCCAGACGGCCCCGCCCCCAGGCACUCCCCCACGCCCCCAGCUGGUCCCUUCUGGCAGCUGCCAGGACCCGGCCCCAGCACCUCCUCCCUGCGGGUCCCCAGCUCCGCCCCCUCCUGCCGGGCCCUGCCCACUCUCCGUGAGGGCAUCGCCAUUGGCUGACUUCUCGCUAGGGGCUCCGCCCCAGGGUUCUGCUUCCGCAAUUGGGCCAAGGGACCAUCCGUCAGCGCCGUCGCCUGGGACCUGGACAGAGGCGGCUCCCGGGGGAAAAUCCUUGACGCUGCCGACCGGAAGGCGGCACCGGGUCGGUGCUGGGGCCAGGGCUGCGAGCCACGUCGGGGAAGCGCUGCCCGCAGGAAUGGUGACCAGGCUGUACGAGGCAUGCGCAGGGUUGACCUGGCCGGGAAGGCGCAGGCGCCCGGCCAGCACGUCUCCAGGAGCAGUUCACUGUGUCCCUGUCGCA